rnacentral:rRNA from 1 species
GACGAACGCUGGCGGCGUGCUUAACACAUGCAAGUCGAACGGAAAGGCCCUGCUUUUGUGGGGUGCUCGAGUGGCGAACGGGUGAGUAACACGUGAGUAACCUGCCCUUGACUUUGGGAUAACUUCAGGAAACUGGGGCUAAUACCGGAUAGGAGCUCCUGCUGCACGGUGGGGGUUGGAAAGUUUCGGCGGUUGGGGAUGGACUCGCGGCUUAUCAGCUUGAUGGUGGGGUAGUGGCUUACCAAGGCUUUGACGGGUAGCCGGCCUGAGAGGGUGACCGGGCACAAUGGGACUGAGGUAGGGACCAGUAUCGUACGGGAGGCAGCAGUGGGAAAUAUUGCACAAUAGGCGGAAGCCUGAUGCAGCAGCGCCGCGUGCGGAAUAACGGCCUUCGGGUUGUAAACCGCUUUCGCCUGAGACGAAGCGUGAGUGACGGUAAUGGGUAAGGAAGCACCGGCUAACUACGUG